AACUCCUGUUUCUGCCUCAGAUUCGUGCUUUCAUAUGGAAGCAAUGGGAUUAUGGGUUCUGGUGAUGGAGGAAAUCAAGCCAUCGAACAGACAAUUGCUACCUUUGAUACAACCAGCUUUUGUUUUUUGUUUUAUGGAUCGUGUGGUCGACUUGUAUCCGUAGUUGGUUUGUUGUGUGAUUACAAUAUUCAAUGAACUGAUCGUCCCACUAUAUUU
rnacentral:snoRNA from 20 species